UGAAAACGUAUGCAAACAAAGUAUCUACAGCCUAGUUUUCUUUUUACAUUUCUAAAACAACUCCAGGUACAUAGCAAGUCACAAUGAUUUUAAACAAAUUACAAAAUUAGCAGCCAAUCAGCUGCAUGCUUAGCUAUAUGCCCCUCUAAAUAGAACAUAUAAAUUAAUGUCUCUUUACACUUGUCUCUGUCUCAUGUCUCUUUACACUUUCAAAAGUCCA